rnacentral:rRNA from 1 species
GACGUAGGGGGCAAGCGUUGUCCGGAUUUACUGGGCGUAAAGCGUGCGUAGGCGGUUCGUUAAGUCAGCUGUGAAAGCCCCGGGCUCAACCUGGGAACUGCGGUUGAAACUGGCGAACUAGAAUCUGGCAGAGGGGGGUGGAAUUCCACGUGUAGCAGUGAAAUGCGUAGAGAUGUGGAGGAACACCGAUGGCGAAGGCAGCCCCCUGGGCUGAGAUUGACGCUCAGGCACGAAAGCGUGGGGAGCAAACA